GCUUUUCUGAUCCAGCGUACAGGUGUUUGGCCUGAGUCGCACACUGAUGGAGAGGGUUAUACGUGCUAGCUGGUCCAGCAGAAAUCUCUGGAUCCUGACACAGAAGUUUUAAUUAGUUAGGAGCUACCAAGUCUGGGCUGACAAAAUCUAGACGACCCCUGCAAAGAGAUACAGAAAACACUCACUUGUUGCUAUCAUCCGCUGGAUUUUCACCGGCCAGGUUUAGGAGUCUGAUUGGUGAUCAACAACCAGAUCUUCACCACUGCGAUGUUCAUGGUCUUGGGAACGGAGACCUAGCGCUAGUCUACUCUCAGAUUUUGAGAGCCAUCUCUUUUUCGCAGACGUGUGUGGCAGCCACGCUUUUGCUAUGAUCAAGAAGUGUAAACUGUAAACCAGCAGAAGAUCCUGAAAACCUUUAAUGAGAUGCAGGAUAUUUAUUUAUUCAUCCAUUGCCAGGAGUUCGAUCCUCACCGGCUCAAGGUUGACUUGGCCUUCCAAUUCUUCCGAGAAAUUUGGUAGGAGAUCAAGAUUAUGCCCUGGAUACCAAGGAAAAGGGUGUCAUUCAGUAAAACAAACAGGAGCUGCAUCAUUCCAGAUUUUUGGGGGAGCAGAUGAAGCUAACUGGAAGUCAAAGGAACAUGAGGAACAAGUGCACACAGGAACAAAAACACUGAAAGGUCUGAAUGUCUUGUGCUGGAUGGAUGCAAAGUGGAACGUCAAAAGGUAUGCAGUUUUCUCAAAGGCAGAUGACCCCAAAUGUACUCCGACAUCUCCGAUAAAAAUGCUCACAAAGAGACAAUGAGAAAAACUCUGUUGCCAGACCAGAGAGGAAAUACUAGAUCAGGGGUGUCAAACUUAAUUUCAUAGAGGGCCGUAUCAGCAUUGCAGUUGCCCUCGGGGGGGGGUGCGUGUGGCAAAGGUGGGUGCAGCCUACUGGGUGGGUGUGGCUGGAGUGUGUG